AACAAGUACCGUGAGGGAAAGAUGAAAAGAACUUUGAAAAGAGAGUUAAACAGUAUGUGAAAUUGUUAAAAGGGAACCGUUUGGAGCCAGACUGGCUUGAUUGUAAUCAACCUAGAAUUCGUUUUGGGUGCACUUGCAGUCUAUGCCUGCCAACGACAGUUUGAUUUGGAGGAAAAAAUUAAUAGGAAUGUGGCCUCUCGAGGUGUUAUAGCCUAUUAUCAUACUCUGGAUUGGACUGAGGAACGCAGUGAAUGCCUUUAGGCAAGAUUGCUGGGCGCUUUCGCUAAUAAAUGUUAGAAUUUCUGCUUCGGGUGGUGCUAAUGUUUAAAGGAGGAACUCGUUUAGUAUAUUUUUUAUUCGCUUAGGUUGUUGGCUUAAUGACUCUAAAUGACCCGUCUUGUAACACGGACCAA
rnacentral:rRNA from 1 species